rfam:Picea glauca, whole genome shotgun sequence.
GACUCUUAGCAAUGAAUAUGAAAUGAAGAACACAGAAAAAUGCAAAACUUGGCGUGAAUUACAUAAUCAUGUUAAUCAUUGAGUUUUUGAAUGGAAUUUUUGUUUGAGGCCUU